CGUCGGCAGGCGGCGGGGACCUGUCCCGGGACACACUCUGACCCGCCGGGGGAACCUGCCGGGCUGGAGCCCCCAACGCGAGGGCCGUUACCGUCGGCGCGGCCCUUCCGUCUGCGCGUGCGCACCAGACGCGGGGCGUGCUCGGACACCUCCCCAGGGCGCAGGGAGCCCGGGUCAGAAGGGACCUCGGAGAUCGGUUAGUGGAGCGGGCCUAAGACCGCGAAGCGAAGGCUGUUGGACUAGUAGGGCGGAGUCCUAGGCACCGUGAGACUGGCGCGCGACCCCUCGCUCGCGUCUCGGCCGCCCGCGCCUGCGCACUGGGGGCUUGCCGCGGGCCUGAGGAGCGUACCAUCCGCAGGCAGGGGUGGGCGCGGGGCGCUCCCGGAAGUAGCCCUUGCGCGUCCCGGAAGCCGAGCCCCUCCCCCGGCUCCGCGGGCCGGGAAACGCGGUGGCUGGCGUGGUGGCUGCGGGCCGCGGUGGUGCUGUCGGCUGCGCGUGCCUGAUCUCCGGGGGCCGAGCCAUCACCAGGGGGGGCAGGUCUGGUGUGGGCCUGGUGUCAGUAGCCUGCUCUGAGUUCUCAGUGGGGAUGAAGCCUACAAACUACUUCUGGAGGCCUGCCACCAGCUCUACUCUUUCACUCUGCCAUUGAUCGUCUCAUUUCUACUCCGGGUUUCCGGUUCUUCAGUCACAAGAUCGGAGCUGAGCCUGGGCCCAGCUUCUCAUUUCCCCCAAGUUCCCAAGCAUGUUGGAAGUAGAAAAAAUCAGGAAGCCCCCCAAGAGGCAUACACCUUCAAGAUUGUUGGGGCAGGAGCCGCCUGUGUGUGCUAACUCCUCCGUGAUCAGAUCCAGGAGCCCGGCUGGUACCCUGGCUUUGCCUAGCUCCAAGUUUCACAACAGAACUACCAGUACUUUUCACAGACGUGGCUGGGGUGCUGGGGGGCGCCUGCUGGCAAUGGAGGAUAAACUGGAGUUCGUAGAUGCGGAAGAGAGGGCUGUCAGUGGCCACAGGAAAAUCAGAGCCUCUGCCUCUCCAAAGGGGAGUGAGAGGGAUCUGCUGCUACAGAGGAAGAGACCUCACUCUCUCCCCAGUUCCUCGCGGAUCUCUUCACCUGACCAGGUUUUCCUUGAGGAGCCGGAAAAAGGCACCCUGGGCCUCCCAGUCUGUGGUGAGAAGAGAAAAGCCUGCUCCCUGGGGAGCCCUGAUGCUCACCCGGCUGCCUCCCAUACAAAGUGCCUGGGCAGCCGGGGGCGGAACAAGCCGAAGGGAGACUCUGACCUCUGUAGCCUCAUAUCUGUGCUUGAGCAGGAGCCCCCUGUGCAGCCCAAGAAGAAGGUGUCCAAACAGAAGGCACGGGGCCAGAGACGGGAGGGGGAGCCCACCCUGAAGAAGGCGAGAGACCUAGUACUCAGCUCUGGCCCGGCCCCCUCGCCCCCAGCGCCACUCCAGGCAGUCAGUCCAGACCAGUCAGAGGUGGGCCAGCCGAGCAAGAGCAAGAAGGUGAAGCAGGCUGACAUCCUCGUAGCCCCUCUGGCCAGGGAGGUGAGACGCCUCAAGAAGUGGAAGAGGCAUUUGCUUGCUGCUGUGGGGGAGACGUCAUCCCUGGUGAGCCUCCAGAAGCCACCCUGCCUGAAGAAGCUGAUCAGAAAUCCCAGGCAUUCCCCUGGCUCUCUGGAAAUCAGUCACAAGCCCCUGUCCGACAUCAGUCGGUUCUUUACCUUUGACUGCAAAAAUGUCUGCAAUGUCACCUGUACUCUGUGUCACGCCAGCAUCAGACAGGGCAAAUUUAAGGGGCAUCUCCAGACCUCAGGCCUGGUCUGUCACCUGGUGAGCAGGCAUGGGCUGGAGAGAGAGAGAAGGCCGGCUGUGGCCAGCCCGGGGGAGAAGGGAGAGCUGGAGGAGAGAAAGCACAAGGGCCUGCCUGCAAGCCCUGCUAGCUUGGCCCCUGAGGGGCUCCCAUCCCCAAGACACUGCCUGGACACCUCAGCCUCGGAAGACAGUGGCAGGGUGCUGGGCCCAGGCAGGCCUGAGCAGCUCUUCCUGGCUCUGCCACCCUUGCCCGCUUCCAUCAAGGAUGAACCUGUCGUUGUACCCCUGGCAGUUGGGGAGGGCCGGGGUGGCACUGACAUCACUGGCCAGCCCCAAGCACAGGCCUGGAAUCAUAGCAUUGCACAGUUGCUCUGUAGCCUCACUUUGCCAUUCUCCUUUACUUCCUCCCUGCCUUUCAGAAGAUUCAUGGCCCAGGUAGACCCCUGCUACCAAGUGCCGCCUCCAGCCUUCUUCUUUGAGAAAGCCUUGCCUCUGCUCCACGAGGCGGUCAGUGAACAGGUGUGUCGGGAGAUGCAGUGGGCCAAGGGGAGCUGUGUCCACCUUACCGUGUCCACUGCUGCCCCAGAUGCAGUUGUGGAUUAUGUGGCCAUCACUGCCCACUGGGGUGCAAUACUGCCGGGCAGUCGGCAGGUGGCAUCGGAGAGCCCACGAAAGCAAGCAGUGCUCUUGGUUCGAGGCCUGGCCCAGGACAGCAGCCUGGAGGAGAGGCAGCAGGCGCUGCAGGAGCAGGUCCGUCUGUGGCUCAGCCGCAGCACCCUGCGACCGGGCUUCCUGGUAUCGGGCAGCUGCCCCAGCUUGGAGCAGGCAGUGAGGAUGGAGGGCUACACCCACAUCCCGUGCUUUGCCCACUGCCUCGACUCCCUGGUGAGAAACUUCCUGUGUCACCAUCAAAGCGUCCAGACCAUCCUGGGUACGGUCAGGGCCAUCUGUAGCCAUUUCCAAGGCUCCUCAGGGGCCCGGCAGCUCCUCAGCCAGCUGCAGCAGCAGUGUGGCCUCCCAGCCCACCAGCCCUUUUGGGAGCUCUCAGACCACUGGCUUUCUGCCUACCGCUUGAUGGAGUGGCUGGUGGAGCAUCAGCGGCCACUGCAGGAGUAUGAGGAGAAAUACCAGCUGGGCAAGGCCAGGACGGCCCUGUCGGCUACCUUCUGGAGCCUGAUGGACAGUCUGGUCAUGCUCCUGCAGCCCUUCCACAUGGUGGUCCAGGAGGCGAGCACUGCAUGGGCUACUCUAAGCCAGGUGCUGCCCCAGCUACGCUACCUGCAUAUCAUCCUGGAGCAGAUCCACGAGCACUUUAAGGAGCAGGGUGGUUCAGAGGUGAGCACAGCCGUCAGGCUGGCCAAGGGCUUGGCCCUGCAGGUCUCCACAGACUGCCAACUCAACGAGCUCUUCUACCGGAAGGAGUUUGUGCUGGCGACCCUGCUUGACCCCCGCUUCAAGGGCAAGAUCGAGGCCAUCCUGCCCAUGGGGGCUGACAUUGACCAUUGGAAGCAAGUUCUCGUGUACAAGGUGAAGGAGAUCAUGGUGUCCGACUGCUCCUUGCCUUCCUCCCCUUCCCCGGACAGCCCCAAGACCAUGUGUAUGGGCACCACCAUGAGCAGCAGGAUGGUCAAGACCCUUGGAGCCAAGGGGAAGGAUGGGACAGAGCCAGGGUGGUGCAGAGGCAGCUCCAGAUCUCUGCUGCUGGGCCAGAGGGAGCGGAGCUUGCUGGAGCAGCUGGAAAGUGCGGGGCUGCUGGCGUCCGAGAGAAGUGGAGCUUCGCUUUCUACCGAGAGCCACCUGGCCAGCAUCAUUGUCAAGAAGUACCUACGCGAUAACGAGACGAUUGGUGCACAAGAGGACCCGCUGGUUUACUGGGAGAAGAGGCAGGAGGUCUGGCCAGUUCUGGCAAGACUGGCUACUGUCUAUUUGUCCUGUCCCCCGACAGGGGCCUUCUGUGAAAGUGUCUAUACGUCCCUGGACAGCCCUGCCAUCCUGGAACACAGCACCCCUCUCCCAGUGGAAACUGUGGAGCGUCUCCUCUUCCUGAAGACCAACUUGGAGAAUUUCCCCAACUAUACCACCCCUUCCCUCCUCUUCCUCAAUGGGGACCUGGCUGAGGGGGAGCAGACCAGCACGGCAGACCUCCAACAGACUCCCUGAACAUCUGCCUGUGGACACACCACCUGGGCUCAGGGGCGAGCAGAAUGUGCACCCUAGGGUGUUGGAUGGGGCUGCCCAGAGUCCUAAACCUCUUUGGAAGGAAUAGGGACAAUUUCUCAAUCCUUGACAGAUUGCCUUCUCCCAGGAGAUACCGUCUUCCAUCCAUCCAUUGCUUAAUUUCUUUCUAGCGGUUUAUGCAUAGAAAAGAUCAAGUCAAAAAAAAAAAAAAAGAUCCAAGUGACUAUGAGUUGUGCUGCACAGUUCUAUAAACUGCAGUGUUGGUGGCUAGUAAGGGCCCUCCAUGCAACUUGUCUGUGCAUGUCCAGGGAUACAUGCCCUUAAGAGCCCUGCUUUCUCAAAAAGCGACUGAGGACAAGGAGAGGCAUGGGCACUGGCAAGUGGGAAAUACAUUCAGCCAGCUAGAGCCUGGAAAGCUGUGGAAGCUUUUUCCGAAGUUGCUUUCACUGUAGAAAAAAGAAGCCCCCACCCCCCCAAAAAAAAAGAAAAGAAAAGAAAAAGAAAAAAGAAGCCCUGAGUUAGGGUGGCCACGUUAAGAAAGAAGUAUGCACACACGCACAUAACAGUUUUUUUGGGGGUCUGUGCUUUGUCGUGGAUCCCAGAGUGGCCAGAGAACCCUAGGUGAUGGGACUGCCCAGCCAGUGAGGAGGUGUGGAUUGAGGACAAUCGAUGUACCCAUUCCUCAACCUUCUUAUCCAUGGUUUGUUUCCAGGCUCCUGGAGAUCCUGGGGUUUCUUUCUACAGUGAAAACAGUCUCUCCAAAAGAGCUUCAUGGCCUACCCAGCUCUAGGAAGCUGCCUGUACCUCUCCUUCUCCCUGGUCACUUGUAAAGUGCAGGUCCCCUACCUGGAAGCAAGAAACACUGUCCAUCAGACCCACUGGUGCCUUCCUUCUGGGCAGGGUGCAAGAGCUGAGUGUGUGAGCCCCAGGAGCCGGUGUAUCAGGUGAAAAAGAAGGCAAAGGAGAGGCCGGAAGACCGGGGCAGGUCUGUCACCCUGCACAUGACUCUGCACAAGCCCAGCUCUCCUGAGGUGCUCAGGAGCUGGAAGGGUGGCUCUGAGAGGGAAGAUACACGUUGGACCAGGAGCUUCUGAGCACUACUUUCCAGAGCAGGACCAGGAUAGGAGGACUCUGGUUCUUUAUUGAGGAACAUGGAAGCACUUGGGUGUGGAUGAACCAUUCCAUCGUGUGGGGCCUGCCCUGUGCUGCUGGCUUGAGUGUGAGUCAGGUUCACACUGUGGGGAGGGCACUUGGUCGAGCCCACACCCUCCUGGUUGAGGUGUGCAGAUUUUGGGUAAGAUAGGCCCGGGAGCAGAGCAGAGUUUCAUCCCCUGGAGAAUUAGAGUUCUACCUUGGUGACUAUGCAGUACUGGCACUGGUGAGGGUAUGGGGCCCAGGGUGGGAGGUGGAGGGCCGGAAGGCCAGCAUCACCUGCCAGGCAGGGCUUUGGGGCAUGGAAUUCCCGGUUUCCGGGGAAUGUGUACUUUGCUCCUGUUUCCUCUUCUGCAAAAAGUGUUCCUCCCAGCUUUGUUGUGGGGAGUACAUGCAGUUCCCUCCCUCCCCCCACCCCCUUCUGGUCCCCUUGUCCUUUCCUGCCCCGUCCCUCCAGAUGUCAUUGAGGUCACUGAACUGGUUCCUCAGGGCAUCACUCCCUAACCCAUCACGCUGGGCUGUGGCUGGUGCUGCUCCACCCAGUGGCCUCCUGAGUCCAGUGGGCCUUUUAACAGUGUCCCUUCUGUGUCCUUGUAUGCCUGCCCCUGGCUGCUCAUCAGUGCCCUCCAUUCAGCCUCAUAAAUGCUGGUGUUCUCUUGACUGCAGCCCAUAACUGCGCCUUUUCACUGGACGCCAGGGCCUCCUGACCACUUUCACCCCCAAAAUAGUGUGUGGCUAGGGAGCUGGGGAAGCUCUGCAUCAUCCUGGAGGGAAGCCUGCAAAUACUGAAAGAGGUCUGUGUCCGCCCAAAGGCUGGCCCAGGAGCCACACCUUCCCACUGGGUACCUCUGCAAAUGACGCAUGAAUCCCUUCAGCCUAGAGCCUCAACUGCCUCCUAAGCCCGAUGCACAUGGUCCCCUCAAACCGGAAGUCUUCUUGACCCCCAGCUUGUCCUGUGUGUCCCAAGGCUGAGAAGGGAGCCCCUGCAUCCAGUAACGUCCUAGCUAGAUCCUUGGUAGUCUUUCUAGGCUCUGUCCUCUGCAGCGCUCACUACCUUCGUGAAGCCCAUGUCUCCCUAGUGCUUUGUGGCAGGCUUCUGGUGCCUGGUGCUCCUCUUGCACCCUUCACCCCUGUGGGCAGCACUUUUAACCAGAUGCAAAGUUGACUGCAUCUCUCUCUCCCUUACAAUCCCUGGUAGAUCCUGCUUGAAGAGUGACCCCGACUUAGUGGGUGCCUUGAAUCACUUCUGGAAAGAAAUGAAACAGAAAUGAAGGGGUGUUGCAGACUAGAGGUUUGCUAGGUAAAGGCAUGAAGACCCACUUCUCAGAGGUGGGGAGAGAGGCAAGGGGGAGGUGGAGGAACCCUAGGCCUAGUUUCCUUGGAGAGGGAAAUAGAAAGUGAUGUGGAUUAUGUAAACACAGACUUGGGGCUCCGGGGUACUCUGGAUCCCAGUUUUUAUAAACAGCAGGAGUGAAUAGUCCCAUGGUACUUCACAGGCAUCACUCUGCCUGGCCUGGGCCUGGCCAGAGUCUGCAGGGUUGGGAGGCUGCCACUUGGAGCAGAGGUCCCUUCUUGUUUUCCUCUCUGCUGCAACCUUGACCCCUCCGUGGGCGGCAUUGCCAGUAUUCUUCCCUCAGGCCUCCCCCUUCCGCUCCAGUCUCGCACUGGCACCUGGCCUUAUGCCGGCCCACAUCCCCUGGUGCCUGGAAAGGCCAGCCUUCCCCUGCCUUUAUGGAACUGAGGUGCUAGCCAGGUCCUUCCCUCCAGCGUGGCUUCUUUGCCUGGCCUUCUGCCCCACUUGCCUUCUCUGGCUAACCCUCAUCCACGCUGCAUGGCAUACAGGGAUUAAUCCCCUUCUACUGGGGAUCCCUGCGUGGCUCAGCAGUUUAGCACCUGCCUUCGGCCCAGGGCAUGAUCCUGGGGUCCCGGGAUCAAGUCCUGCAUUAGGCUCCCUGCAUGGAGUCUGCUUCUACCUGUGUCUCUGCCUCUCUCGUGUCUCUCAUGAAUAAAUAAAUAAAACCUUUUUUAAAAACUUAAAAAUGCCCUUCUACGGACUCCAGAGUGAAGAGCUAGUUGGGGGAGCCAUGGGUGGUGGGGCUGUGGGCAGGUGACUGUGGCCUCAGGGCUGCCAAUGCCACUACUACCUCCUCCAGCGGCCUGAGCUGAGCCUCCAGGCCCCAUGGUCACAAGCAGGGGUUACAGUGGACCCACACAAUCUGGAAACCAUUUUGAAUUUGUUGCUAAUGUUUUAAAAAAAAAAAAAAAAACACUGAGUCACGAACAUUUUUGGGAGAAUGAAGUAAGGCCCAGCGUGCUGUCAUUUGUGGCUGCAUAUGGAAGGGAACAGAAGAGUUGGUGGUGACCUGUUAGCUAUUCAAGAAUUAAUUGGAAUGGCUAAAAAGAAACACCUCAAAAUUAUGAAGGAUGGAUCGUGAGCAGUUUCCGACAAAGGAAAGUGAAGAGAUUUUUGUCUCCAGGUACAGAUAUGGAAAAUGGGAAUUCGGUCACAUGGCACCUGAAUUCCAUCUGGUAUAGCCAUAACUGCUGGAGCAGUGUCGGGGCCCCUGUAGGUGCGGGCCUGAGCCUGGCCCACCUCCCUCAGGGGGCUCUGUGUCUGCAGGUGUGGCUGGGCUGGCUGGAUCUCUGUCACCGUGGGAGAGGCCGGGCAGUGCCUCAUGCUGCCAUUAGGUCAGAAAGUGCCCAGGAUAUCCAGAGAGGCCCACUCACUGUAUGAUUCUCUCUCUGUAGGAACCUGUCAGUCCUCAAGGAGGGCUGUCGCAAACGGGCCUCUGGCACUGGCCCAGACACAAUCGAUGGUGCCUUUUUCGGGGUGAGCAGUCCCCUGACCCCCAGUGGUGGCCGCGUCCCUGUGCCAGGACCACUGGGGCCCAGGCCUCCCAGACUGCCUUCAUCAGAUGGAGCCCCAGGGUGAGAAGCCGGGAGAGGCGGACGGGGUGUGCAUCACGCCCCAGCUGCUCAAGUCUCGCUCGGGUUUGCCUGAGGCAUGGACUUACCCCUCGAACUCUGUGUGUUCCGGUGGCCUGAGAACAAGAAAGCUACAGAUGUGGAAACGGAGGUCCUCUCGCUGAAAGAUACCAGGUGUUGCCUUACA